AUACGGAGGGUGCAAGCGUUACUCGGAAUCACUGGGCGUAAAGCGCGCGUAGGCGGUUGUUUAAGUCGGAUGUGAAAGCCCCGGGCUCAACCUGGGGACUGCAUUCGAUACUGGGCGACUAGAGUAUGAAAGAGGGAGGUAGAAUUCCAUGUGUAGCGGUGAAAUGCGUAGAUAUAUGGAGGAAUACCAGUGGCGAAGGCGGCCUCCUGGUUCAAUACUGACGCUGAGGUGCGAAAGCGUGGGGAUCAAACAGAAUUAGAAACCCUAGUAGUCC
rnacentral:rRNA from 1 species